UACGAAGGGGGCUAGCGUUGCUCGGAAUCACUGGGCGUAAAGGGCGCAUAGGCGGCCAUUCAAGUCGGAGGUGAAAGCCCAGGGCUCAACCCUGGAAUUGCCUUCGAUACUGUCUGGCUGGAGACCGGAAGAGGUAAGUGGAACUGCGAGUGUAGAGGUGAAAUUCGUAGAUAUUCGCAAGAACACCAGUGGCGAAGGCGGCUUACUGGUCCGGUUCUGACGCUGAGGCGCGAAAGCGUGGGGAGCAAACAGG
rnacentral:rRNA from 1 species